UUGCGAUGAUGACAACUUAGGACACCUUUGGAUAACCCAUGAAAAGACUUUCCUGACUGAGCAAU